rnacentral:rRNA from 1 species
GGGGAAUUUUCCGCAAUGGGCGCAAGCCUGACGGAGCAAUACCGCGUGAGGGAGGAAGGCUCUUGGGUCGUAAACCUCUUUUCUCAGGGAAGAAAAAAUGACGGUACCUGAGGAAUCAGCAUCGGCUAACUCCGUGCCAGCAGCCGCGGUAAUACGGAGGAUGCAAGCGUUAUCCGGAAUGAUUGGGCGUAAAGCGUCCGCAGGUGGCAGUGAAAGUCUGCUGUCAAAGGUCAGGGCUCAACCCUGAACAGGCAGUGGAAACUACACAGCUAGAGUGCGGUGGGGGCAGAGGGAAUUCCCAGUGUAGCGGUGAAAUGCGUAGAGAUUGGGAAGAACACCGGUGGCGAAAGCGCUCUGCUAGGCCGCAACUGACACUCAUGGACGAAAGCUAGGGGAGCGAAUGGGAUUAGAUACCCCAGU